rnacentral:rRNA from 1 species
GACGAACGCUGGCGGCGUGCCUAAUACAUGCAAGUCGAACGCAGUGGGGACGGGUGAGUAACACGUGGGUAACCUCCCAUCAGAGGGGAUAACACUUGGAAAAAGGUGAUAAACCGAUACCGAAGGAUUGCCCCGCGGUGCAUUUGCUAGUUGGUGAGGUACCGGCUCAACAAGGCCACGAUGCAUAGCCGACCUGAGAGGGUGAUCGGCCACACGAGGACGGAGACACGGCCCAGACUCCGACGGGAGGCAGCAGUAGGGAAUCUUCGGCAAUGGACGAAAGUCUGAACGAGAAACGCCGCGUGAGUGAAGAAGAUUUUCGGAUCGUAAAACUCUGUUGUUAGAGAAGCGGUAUCUAACCAGAAAGCCACGGCUAACUACGUGCCAGCAGCCGCGGUAAUUC